GACGAACGCUGGCGGCGUGCUUAACACAUGCAAGUCGAACGGAAAGGCCCCCAUCUUGGUGGGGGUGCGCGAGUGGCGAACGGGUGAGUAACACGUGGGUGAUCUGCCCUGUACUUCGGGAUAAGCUUGGGAAACUGGGUCUAAUACCGGAUAGGACCAUGGUUUAGUGUCUCCUGGGGGACAGAUUAUUGUUUUGGUGCAGGUUGAGCUCGCGGCCUAUCAGCUGGUGGGUGGGGUAAUGGCCUACCAAGGCGUGGACGGGUAGCCGGCCUGAGAGGGUGGACGGCGGAAUUGGGACUGGGAUACGGCCCAGACGCCGACGGGAGGCAGGAGUGGGGAAUAAUGCACAAUGGGCGCGAGCCUGAUGCAGCGACGCCGCGUGGGGGAUGACGGGCUUCGGGUGGUAAACUCCUUGCGUUAGAGUCGAAGCCACGAUUUUUGGGUGUGGUGACGGUACCUUUGUGAAGAAGCACCGGCUAACUACGUG
rnacentral:rRNA from 1 species